GCCAGUGUGGCGUUGUGGUUUGACCGUUGGACUAAUGACUAGAGGCCAGGGUUCGAUUCCCCGCUCGAGCG